rnacentral:rRNA from 1 species
UCCAGACUCCUACGGGAGGCAGCAGUGAGGAAUAUUGGUCAAUGGGCGGAAGCCUGAACCAGCCAAGUAGCGUGAAGGAUGACUGCCCUAUGGGUUGUAAACUUCUUUUAUGCGGGGAUAAAGUUCGCCACGUGUGGCGUUUGCAGGUACCGCAUGAAUAAGGACCGGCUAAUUCCGUGC